UACGUAGGGUGCAGGCGUUAAUCGGAAUUACUGGGCGUAAAGCGUGCGCAGGCGGUUUCUUAAGUCAGAUGUGAAAGCCCCGGGCUUAACCCGGGAAUGGCAUUGAAUACUGCAGAUCUGGAGGAUUGGAGGGGGGACUGGAAUUCUUGGUGUAGCAGUGAAAUGCGUAGAUAUCAAGAGGAACACCAGUGGCGAAGGCGAGUCCCUGGACAAUUCCUGACACUGAGGCACGAAAGCUAGGGGAGCAAACAGG
rnacentral:rRNA from 1 species